AGAAAACUCCGAAAACUGCCAAGGACUUGGGGCCCUCAGGUUUCGGACUCACCCCUACCUGAAAUGAUGUGUCCAGCGUUUCAGGAUGGAAACGAAUGCCAGUGCGUCGGCCAAGGACUUGUGCAGAAGCUUCUCGUUAAUUGUCCCACCUGGAGGCUGUGUGGAGGGUUAGAGAGUGUGGCCUAGGGAGCCAGUGCAGAGUGUGGCUUGAUUGCAUCCGUCUUUGAAGUGUUCUUGACGUGGUUCCUGUGGCCGCAAGCCUGAGGCCCCCUCUCCAGUGGCCGUGGGCAUGCCUCCUGUGCAAAGGGCACCUGCAUACCUUCUUGAGUCUCGACGAGGGAUUCGGGAUCCCAGCGUGUGGGGAGCUCUGAACAGUAGUUAAACAGGAGCCAAAUCCCUCAGUAUCCAGGUUGACUCCAAACGGAUCUCCCACCCCAGGGAAAUAGCAGGAUGUGAUCGCUCCCGUUUAAAAUCCAUCAAGCCCCAGUUCGUCCAUUUUCCCCCCCGUGUGUCCCCUUCUCUCCAUCACUACCUGACUCUCCAUCUCUUCUCUCUCAUCUCCUACCUCCUCCUCUCCUUCCUCUGCCUCCUUGUCUUUUCCCUAGUCGCUCCCAAACAGACUAUGAUAAAGACUUGUGUCUACCCACAUG